GGGAUGCUAGCUCAGUUGGGAGAGCUCCUGCCUUACAAGCAGGCGGUCAGCGGUUCGAGCCCGUUGCAUCCCACCA
rnacentral:tRNA from 3 species